CUCUCUCUCUGCUGGCUGGCUGGCUGUCUAGGCCUAUGUGUCACCACCUGGCACUUGCUCUCAUUGUCUUGUGCGAGUGCUUUUGCCAGCAGUUUGGAGUGCAGACCCAUCACCCCUCACUGGGGCCCCCCAUGAGGCCUGCCUGACUGCAUGCCCCACCCGGGCCCAUGGCAGCGCACCUGGAAGCGGACGGCUGAGGACUUGUUGCAGUGCAUGGAGAUGGGCGCGAAGCUGUACAGGGCCUUCAGUACGUCGCGGUUGAAGGAGUUCCAGGGAACAGAGGAUCCCGAAGCCCCCCUGCAAGUUGGAGGAGACCCGUCAGCCCCGGGCCAUGCCACGCAGACGCUGCCAUCCAGCAGCUUUCGCCGCACCCACGUGUACACUGCGUCCACUCGUCUGUUCACUGCACCGUGCCAGGCAUGCUCUGGGGAACCGAGUCCCUGCCCUCAAGGAAUUGCCACCAUUGGCAGGAGAGACAGGCAGUGAGUGAGUGAGUCAACCAGGAAAUUCGUAUCAGGUACUGAUGAUGCUGUGAGGAAAAAUGAAACGGGACAAGCGGAUGGGGUGUUAUUGUGCCCAUUUUAUGGGUACAGAAACUGAGUCUCAGAGCAGGCAAGGGGAUGCCCCGUGGUGGCCACAGCAUCGGUGGCACAGCCUGAGUGCACCCAGCGUCCCGGCCAUUGUCUGGAAGCUGUCCCCAUGACCUCCAGCGAGAGCCUGGAGCCAAGGACUGCAAGGGAGGCCCUUUCCACUGCAGCCCCGCACCGUCCACCAGUCAUUUCUCCAACGUGGCUCUGAGGGGAGCAGGGACUCUAUAAGACAGGACCGUGACUAGAGGCCGCGACAACCUCCAGCCUCUCACGGCAACCCUACGGCCUGCCAUCGCAUGGGAGGGGCAGGGCAGGCACCCUCUGAGUCCCCACUGCCAGCUUUAAGCCCCUCGCUGGGUUGCUGCUCUUGGAGCUGGUGACCGUGGAGCCUCAGCCAUAGGAGGAAGAACAGCAGCAGCUUGGAGGAGCUGGGGCUGGAGAGAGCAAAGCUCCCCCGGCAGCAGCUCAGAUCCCAGCAGGUCAGGGGCCGGGACAUGACGCCCUGGCCACCCUUGCCCCUCCAGGCUCCCCGCUGUUUGUGAAGCUGCUGUGGGCCUGGGGAUUUCAUCUGGCUGGUGGGGAAGAAAGGCAAUCUUUACUCUAUGGCAGAACAAAGGGACUGGGCAAAGCUUGGCGUGGCACUUACACCAGCUGCCGCCCCCUCCUCCCGUGCAGACAAAGAGCAUGGGACAGUUCUGCCCAGAGACGAAACCUGGCACCUGUUGGCCAGGACGCGUUUUUGCCAGCAUUGUUCUCUGGGCCGGAUUCCUCCUUUCCCAGCUUUUCUCAUCCAUCCCGCCCCCGUCAGAUCGGGACGAUUGCCCUCCUGUGUGAGUUCCUGUCCCUCCCCACCCUCUGCCACCACAGACAUCAAAAGGGAACUGAGUCCGACCCUGUGUAGAAUCUGUUCUCCUCUUUCACCUGGGGAAGGAAAUCGAAUUUCAAAGGCCACUGUGUCUUGGAUCAGCAGGCGAGGGCUUGUCAGAGUGUGAGAAGCUCAGGUCCACCUGGGGAGCUGCCCUCCCCUUUGAUCCCACCUGGUGCUGUGAUGUGGCCACUGCCAAGAGGACGACAUGGGCCAGGGAAGCCACAGAACUGCCCACGGGGACGCUGGCACCGAGGGCCUCAACCUGCAGAACGGCCAUCUGAGAUGUCCGCGGUGCUCACCAGGCCUGGCAGCCCCGAACGCCCUGGGACGUGGCGUCAGUUCCGCCGCCGUGAAGCCAGAUUGGGCAGGGAAUAUGCAGUCUCCUCGCUGGAUGCCCGGCAAGACCCUCCCAUCCCUGGCCCCGGGGCCGCGCCUGCAGAAUGGGGCUGAUGGUGGGGACUUGCCUGGGGUGCUCCACCUGCAGAGCCCUCUGUUUGCGAGCCCACUCAGUCACUGCACAGGUGCUUAGCCGAGAGGCGGCACAGUCGGGGUUGGCACCUGCACCCAUACCAGCCCUGCCUCCUGUUCGCUGUGUGGCCUGAGUGGCUGGACCUCACUGUAUCUCCUGGUGGGAUUGCUCAGAGGUCUCAGCAAGGCUUGGUGUGGUUAGGAUGAGUUAUUAGAGCAGUGCUGAGCUGUGGCAAGCACCCGACAUCAGCCACUGCUGUGAUAUACUGAGCACCUCCUCUAGAGAGAAUAAAGGACUGACAAAGCUAAAAAAAAAAAAAAAAAA
rnacentral:lncRNA from 1 species